rnacentral:rRNA from 1 species
GACGAACGCUGGCGGCGUGCCUAAUACAUGCAAGUCGUACGCUUCUUUUUCCACCGGAGCUUGCUCCACCGGAAAAAGAAGAGUGGCGAACGGGUGAGUAACACGUGGGUAACCUGCCCAUCAGAAGGGGAUAACACUUGGAAACAGGUGCUAAUACCGUAUAACAAUCGAAACCGCAUGGUUUUGAUUUGAAAGGCGCUUUCGGGUGUCGCUGAUGGAUGGACCCGCGGUGCAUUAGCUAGUUGGUGAGGUAACGGCUCACCAAGGCCACGAUGCAUAGCCGACCUGAGAGGGUGAUCGGCCACAUUGGGACUGAGACACGGCCCAAACUCCUACGGGAGGCAGCAGUAGGGAAUCUUCGGCAAUGGACGAAAGUCUGACCGAGCAACGCCGCGUGAGUGAAGAAGGUUUUCGGAUCGUAAAACUCUGUUGUUAGAGAAGAACAAGGAUGAGAGUAACUGUUCAUCCCUUGACGGUAUCUAACCAGAAAGCCACGGCUAACUACGUGCCAGCAGCCGCGGUAAUACGUAGGUGGCAAGCGUUGUCCGGAUUUAUUGGGCGUAAAGCGAGCGCAGGCGGUUUCUUAAGUCUGAUGUGAAAGCCCCCGGCUCAACCGGGGAGGGUCAUUGGAAACUGGGAGACUUGAGUGCAGAAGAGGAGAGUGGAAUUCCAUGUGUAGCGGUGAAAUGCGUAGAUAUAUGGAGGAACACCAGUGGCGAAGGCGGCUCUCUGGUCUGUAACUGACGCUGAGGCUCGAAAGCGUGGGGAGCAAACAGGAUUAGAUACCCUGGUAGUCCACGCCGUAAACGAUGAGUGCUAAGUGUUGGAGGGUUUCCGCCCUUCAGUGCUGCAGCUAACGCAUUAAGCACUCCGCCUGGGGAGUACGACCGCAAGGUUGAAACUCAAAGGAAUUGACGGGGGCCCGCACAAGCGGUGGAGCAUGUGGUUUAAUUCGAAGCAACGCGAAGAACCUUACCAGGUCUUGACAUCCUUUGACCACUCUAGAGAUAGAGCUUCCCCUUCGGGGGCAAAGUGACAGGUGGUGCAUGGUUGUCGUCAGCUCGUGUCGUGAGAUGUUGGGUUAAGUCCCGCAACGAGCGCAACCCUUAUUGUUAGUUGCCAUCAUUUAGUUGGGCACUCUAGCAAGACUGCCGGUGACAAACCGGAGGAAGGUGGGGAUGACGUCAAAUCAUCAUGCCCCUUAUGACCUGGGCUACACACGUGCUACAAUGGGAAGUACAACGAGUCGCGAAGUCGCGAGGCUAAGCUAAUCUCUUAAAGCUUCUCUCAGUUCGGAUUGUAGGCUGCAACUCGCCUACAUGAAGCCGGAAUCGCUAGUAAUCGCGGAUCAGCACGCCGCGGUGAAUACGUUCCCGGGCCUUGUACACACCGCCCGUCACACCACGAGAGUUUGUAACACCCGAAGUCGGUGAGGUAACCUUUUGGAGCCAGCCGCCUAAGGUGGGAUAGAUGAUUGGGGCGAAG